rnacentral:lncRNA from 1 species
AGUUGAUUUUCUUGUUAGAGAGAGAGGGUAAAAGAAAAGCAAGAAAUAUCAGAUUGAAUAUUUCAAUGAUGCCAAAUAUAAAAGUCCAACACCACUUUCCUCAGAUGGGGCACAUGUACUGAUGCAGGUUUUUUAAGGUUACUUUAUGGAAUUUGAUAUUAUUUCUACCUGGAAUUGUUACCUUCCAAUGUACUAAUUUCAUUUCUAUGUUCCAUGUGAAAAGGUGUUUAUAGUGACUAAAUUUAUGCUAGUUAUGAAAAUAAUCUUAAUUACAUUACUCAGUAAAAGAAUGAAUAGGUUAAUUUUGAAUUUUCUUAAAAUUUAAGUUUUUUUUUUAAUAAGCUAAAAUACGUAGCAAUAUAAAAGGAAAAGGUUUGAUAUUAGGUUAAUUUAAUAAAGUUAUUACCUGAGGUUCACCAAUCCAUUUGAAUGGUAGGGAAGAGAGACCAACUUCUUGUUCAUGUGAGCUGGUGUGCCACAAAUCACUUAGAAGAAGGUUGAACUCAUCAUCAUAGUGAAACGGUUCGUUUUGUCCCUUUGGCAAAUCUACUAUCAGUGAACCAUACAACCCUGCUGAUCUUUGCA